rnacentral:lncRNA from 1 species
GUCACCGCAUCUUUAUAAAGGGCCGCCUUGGGGCGCGAAAAGUUCGUGAGGUGUAGUCGCGGCAACCAGGAGGUGCACCCACCACUAGAAUUUGAACAUCCUAAGAACAGGUAUUUUUGUCUCUGCUUUGCUGAUGUAUCCUCAGCAACCGGAACUGCCUGACAUCUGAUCCUUUCUGUGAGACACCAGGCUGUUGAGGAAGAAUCUAUGGCAACAUUGUAUCUAUUAAUAUACAGCUUCUGUAUUUAUCAGGCCCAGUUCUGGUGAUGAUUUCACUUUUGACAGAAGCUGUCCCUCAAAAGCAAACAUGCAAUAGAAGAAACAGAUCUCAAUGGAGUCUCACUCUGUCACCCAGGAUGGAGUACAGUGGCGUGAUCUCGGCUCACUGCAAGCUCCGCCUCCUGGGUUCAUGCCAUUCUCCUGCCUUAGCCUCCCGAGUAGCUGGGACUACAGGCGCCUGCCACCACGCCCGGCUAAUUUUUGUAUUUUUAGUAGAGACAGGGUUUCACCGCAUUAGCCAGGAUGGUCUCGAUCUCCUGACCUCGUGAUCCGCCCGCCUCAGCCUCCCAAAGUGCUGGGAUUACAGGCGUGAGUCACUGUGCCCAGCCAAGUUUAGUAUUUUUUGUAGAGACAGAGUUUCACCAUGUUGGCCAGGCUGGUCUUGCACUCAUGGCCUCAAGUGAUCCACCUGCCUCGGCCUCCGAAAGUGCUGGGAUUACAGGCGUAAGCCACUGUGCCUGGCCUUAAAUGGGUAAAUUUCAUAUGGUAUAUGAAUUAUAUUUCACUAAAACUUUAAGAAAACAUUAUACAGUACUGUUCAAAUUUUAAGUGGUCCAAUUUAAAUGCACUAUUGUAUACAAUUCUAUGUAAUGUCCUUACCAUGGUAUAUGUUAACUAUAAAUAUCUAUGCCCCUACCCUUAGUAUCAAAGCAUAUAUUAUAUGCCAGUGAGCCAAGCCCCACAUGUCUGUGAAAUGUGGUCUUCUAGCCAUAGAAGUAGCUUGUGCUCCUAGGGUAUUCCUUGAGGCUCUGUAUGAAGAAUGUCCAUUUGUUUGAGUCCCUAACCUACAGAAUAUUCCUGACCAUGGAAAUGUGAUAGAUAGGAGUAAGCACAUGGACCAAAAGGCCUGGAGGCUCAUCAUUUAAGGUACAAGCCAAUUAUGUAGUCUUUGAAAGAAUGCUUUGAAAUUCAGCUUGCUUGAUUCAAUUCCCAAUAUUUUCAUUUGUAUUAAAAGAUUUGGCCCUUACAGGUUAAAAACAAUGUCAGUGUAACCAAGUGACAUUCAAAUUUUGGCUCCCAACAUGUGAUAUGACAUCACUUCAUGUGAAAAUAGCGAAGCUCCAAACAUUUUCUUUCAGUCACCUUAUUAAGCUCGCUGAGCCCUGACAGCCUAAUGAAAGGCUAAGGGGGAAGAAAAUGUCCCAACUUCUACACUGUUGAAGAUGGGCUAAUGAGAGGUUAGCUUGCAAGAAUCAUUCUUUCUUGGCAUCCUGCUUCUGACUGCUUGGCUUUCAGCUUAUACCCAGCAUGAAAAUUUAAUUUCCUCGCAGUUGAAGGUAGUUUAAAGCUUAUUACUCACAUGCUAAAAUGUUGAUGUAUCUGUUUUUGUGCUUGUUUUCUGGAUGAUUGGAAUGCUCUGCAGUGAUGUUCAUAUCAGCAGUACAGCGCUGGACUUCCUAGUGAAGAAAACAGCAAGAUUAUAGACACAGUUUAGAAACAAAGGAACACCAUAUACAUUUAAAGGCAUAAAGUAUUUACUCACUCCCUGGCCACAGCCACCGUUACCUUCUCAAUCCCAACUUCGGAUAUAAUUAUUGAUAUAUUUAUAACGAGUUUAUGAAGAAUGUGAAAAAGAUCUGACCACCCUAGCUAUGGACUGAAGUUGGAGCCUCUUUUCUAAUAUAAUGCAAUUGACCAAGACUGCUUGGGAGCAGCUGUCAGUAUUGUUUAAAGCUGUCAUUCAAUAUGGCCAAACUCUUUGUUAUCUAAAACCCCUUGUCUGAUCUGUUGCCUCUGUUUCACUUUUCCAAUUAGAUGAAUGACAGAAACAAAAAAUCGUAAUAAAUAUUGUCAAAUCUGAUUUUAUUAGAACCCAUGGGGUUUGCCUGAGGCCUUCUGAUUUUGUCAUGUAGAUAAUAAUGUCAUCUGUAAUUCCUUGCAGUACUGCCUGGCUCAUUUAGAUGCUGAUAAUAUCAUCUGAUCUGGGAGUGGCUUUUCUCUAUCAGAACUGCCAUUUCAAAGUUAACAGGAUUUUAGUGUGUUAAAAACCCUUUAAAGAGACACUGGCCAAUGGAGUAUGCAUUGUAAAUUUACCUAUUCAGAACUUGAUAAAUAGUUUAAGCUUGUUUAUAUUUUACUCCCUAUGUAACAAAGCUAGAAUUCUCAAAAAGAACAGUUUGAAUCUUAACAGGCACAUAAGCAUAGGAGAAGGCCAACAUAAAACAGGUGUAAAAUAAAGCAAAAAAUCGAAGACUGAACAAACCCUAAAAAUUGAUGUAACGAGAAUUUUAGGGAGGUGAUGUAGGCUAAAUCACUUCCUACCUACAGUCAUUGAUGCAAGAGGCUAUUUAAAGAGCACUUAAAGACCUACUGUCCUACUAUACUGUGGCUCAAUUCAAAAAAAUAAUGCAACAAAACUUCUAGAAAUCUUUCAGAUUGCUCAGUUCCAAAAAGGUAGCUGAGAAUAAAUUAUUUGGAUCUGGUUACCAAGUAUUACACCAAGUAGGGGUAACAUUCUUAGUGCCUGAGUUCAGGCAGCCUACAAUUGUGGUAAAGAGACUGUUCUACAGAUGACUGAUGGGUUUAGGUCAUGGUAGUGACCCAGUGCAUGUACAGUGUCGGACACAGAACUGGCCUUUGACAGGUGCUGGUUACACUGCAUCUUCCAGCCCCUACUCUCUCCUGCUCAGGGUAUAAAUUGCUGCCAGACUGAUUUUCCUCAAACGUUGUGCUGACUUUGUUAUUCCCUUCCUCAGAAACGUGUGGAGAGAUUCCACAUUCCCUUAGCCAGGCUUUCAAGGUCCCAUCUUAUCUUCCCCACCCUUCCCAAUCCCAGACAAUAUUAACUCCAUACCCUUUGAAAAGACCAUUUGAUUUCCUGCUUAUUGCUUUAUUGCCAUUUACCUUGGUAAGAAUGCCUGUUCUCUUCCUGUAUCCAAAUCCAUGUAUCUUUAUCAAAAUGACUGCAUUUGCCCCCUAGAAAACUAACCUAUCUUUGGAGAGUAUAACACAGCAUUAUUAUCCUGCAGCUGGUCUCUAGCAUAAGAAUUAUUUUUCAUGAAAUCUGGCUAUCUCCCUUUUAUCUCCCUCUUCACCAAAAUCUCAAAAAACUGUGAUUUACCUCAUAACCGUUUAAAAACGUUUUUCUUAAGAUAUUUAAGACCCAAACUGGCAUUUUUGUCAAAAACGCUGAGGAAACUAACUCUACAGCAAGCUUAUCCAAUCCAUGGCCCACAGGCCACAGGCGGCCCAGGAUGGCUUUGAAAGCAGCCCAACACAAAUUCGUAAACUUUCUUAAAACAUUGAGGGUUUUUUUUUUCCCUGCAAUUUUUUAGCUCAUCAGCUCUCAUUAGUGUAUUUUAUGUGUGGCCCAAGACAUUUCUUCUUCCAAUGUGGCCUAGGGAAGCCAAAAGAUUGGACAGCCCUGCCUACAGGCUCAUUUUCUGCCCUCUUGCAGGCAGCAGUCGGUGCAGCAUUACACCUCUGACCAGAGACUUCCCUAUUAUACAUCAUCAGCAGCCCUGGACAUCUCCCUUCAUUUCCUAAAGUGAUUGUGGCCACUGGUCCCUCAGAGCAUGGGCUCAGGUGGACUAAGCUUUGUUCUUUUGAUUUAAGAUGAACAACCAGCCCAAAUUUAGCACAGCUGGUUAACUGUAAUAGAGGCAGUCCCCCAAAGGAUCUUGUCCAGGGGCUGUGGACUUCUGGCCUCAUCCUGCACUCUUUUAGACUUCUGAUUCUACCAGUCCCUGCCUGUUAAUUCUUCUGACUCAUGGAGCUUUGGAGUGCCUUCCUUUUGAAAGAGUAUGCUAGCACUGGUCUUUUGGAAGCCUUCUGCAUUAUGUUUGUGGGGGCCAAGGAAGAGGCUGUCAAUCUUUUAAUACUACUCUGGGAAACUACUCCCUGGGAAGGACAAUGAGGUUGAAGUUAGCUCAGGUAGCCAAGGUAAUGGUGUCAUCCAACGCUAUCACAAGAAAAGGACUGAUGUUAUUUCUAGUGACUGCAAAUACUGUAUGAUGUUGCUUUUCACGGUCUCUAGAAUUUAUUUGACAAGAACAAAAAGCUGGCUUACAGCAACACUUCUAGACAAAGAGUCAAAGGUACCAGUGAAUUGUUUUUCUCAUUCUCCAAGCAGUAAAGUUCUGAAACUACGAUAGUUAUUCACCAACAUUUUUUUACUUCCGAGAUGUUUAAACAUGAUGGAUGAGAAUUUUUGCUGAAAUCUCCAAUGAAAAUACAUAGAUGCCUUUCUCCUUUGCACUUCUUCAGAACUUUAUGCCUGUACAAUAGCACUUAUUUUGCUUUGUCCUGUUUCUGUUUUGGUUGUGUACACUCUGGCCUCCCCCAGUACCAGAUUGAACUCUUUGAGGGCAAGGACUCUAAUUCAUAUUUGUAUCUUAUAUUAUGUCCAGAGAAUGGUAGAUCAUCAGUAACUGUUAGAUGGGUUGUUUUAGCUCCUCUUAAUGUCCAGUUGUUAACUUUUCAGUUGUAUUUCUCAUAAUUUUAAGACUAAUUUUAGGCCUACAUGUUGGAUAAGAUUUUUAUAAGUCGUAUUCUCAGCUAUCUUAGAAGGCUCGAGACCAUAAAGAUCAUGUAAUGGGCAGCUAAUACUCCUAGUGGGGGGGGUUCCUAAUUUGGCUGCUCUCCCCACUUUUGUAUUGUUAAGGCACCGAGGCAUGAUCAUUUCUAGUCACUUGCAAGCUUCCUUAUUUCUCCUUCUGACCUUGGCUCAUUACAGGACAUUACUCUGGCUUUUUGGUGUUUUUUCCUGAGACAGGGUCUUGCUCUGUCGCUCAGGCUGGAGUGCAGUGGUACGGUCAUAGGUCACUGCAGCCUCAAUAUCCUGGGCUCAAGUGAUCCUCCUGCCUCAGCCUCAGCCUCUGAAUAGCUAGGACCACAGUUGUGCGUCACCACACCUGGCUAAUUAAAAAAAAUUUUUUUUGUAGAGACAGAGUCUUGCUGUGUUGUCCAGGCUGGUUGGGAACUCCUGAUCUCAAGCGAUCCUCCCACCUUGUUCUCCCAAAGUGUUGGGAUUACAGGUGUGAGCCACUGUGCCUGGCCCAGGACACUACUUUAAUGAGAGUCUGGAUGGUGUCAAGGUGAACCAUGUGGGUUCAAGUCAGAUACCCUGGUCUUAAACCCUACUCCUGCCAUUUCAAAAUGUAGCCACCCACAGCCUCAGUUUUCUCAUGGGUAGUUUCGUCAUCAGUAAAAUGGGGACAAUAAGAUACACCUACCUCAGGAAAUAGAAUGAUCCAUGCACAGUGCUAACUAGUAAAUGCUGGCCAUCAUUAUUCCAGGUAAAUGGGUCUGGAAAUCUGAGACUAAGAUUACCUUAACUCUCUUACCAUAAUACAAUUUUGUUUUUAAUUACACAAAAUCUUUUUCUGUCCUUUCUUAUAAAGCCUGUUACUAUCUCUGUUUAUAAAAUAGCCGUAAUAGCUUCUUAUGUAGCCUAUUACCAGUUUUCCCUUUUAGCAGUUACCCAAAAGGAAUACUACUCUUUUAAAAGUACUUCAAAUUUUCACCUAAUUAUAAGGUGACAGUAGUAUUGGUGAGCUUUUCUAUUUUCUUAUUCUCCCCUUUACGUUGCUGCUUUGCUGUUCUUUUUAGAAGAAAGCAUAUUCUUCCUAUUGUGAACAGCUCUGAUUUUAAACCUUUCAAACCUGAAAAGACAGUGAAAUCACAACAGCCCUUUCACCUUCCUGCCUGCCCUCCCCAUUCCACUCCCAUAAGUAUCAGCUAAUACUAUUUAAGCUCUAAAGUUCAAUGUAGGCGAUUAAAGCUUUUAGCUGCAGUAUAUUUUUUUAGGACAGAAAUAGGGUACAGAUGCCCAGGAUUUGUUAAGAAGCAUGAUUUUGAUGCAGCAAAGCCCAUUUUAAGUCAGAUCAAGUUUACAGAGGUGUAGCUGAUUAUUUUGAAUAAUUAAAUGGUGUCAAAACCAGCUGUGAUGAAUAGCACUGGGGUCUCAAAUCAUAAAUAAUUGAGAAACUGGAGUUGCAUUUGAUCAUCCUGAUCAAAUUCGGCUCUCUAGAGGAUAAAUGUUUGUCCUGAAUACCAUCAACGUUGUUAAAUG